CCAUGAUUGUAAGUUUCCUGAGGCCUCCCCAGCCAUGCAGAACUGUCAGUCAAUUAAACCUCUUUCCUUUAUAAAUUACCCAGUCUCUGGUAUUUCUUCAAAGCAGCAUGAGAAUGAACUAACACAAAUGAGAUGCAACUCAUGCAAAGGAAGAUAAUGGAUUCAAAUUAUUCCCAUAUUUUCAGAGAAGAGUGUGUAUCCUGAAUGACAUUGUAUCAGUGUGUGAACAUCAUCAUGGAAAGUCGUCUUUCCCUCAUCACUAGCCAGAGGCAGUGGCCUCAUAUGCCAAGGCCCAGUGGCACUGGGCAGUGUCUGCUCUGGUCUCCAGGACCUGCUCUGAAGUCAUCAGCUCAUGGGCCCACUGUGAUGUUCGUGCAGGUCGAGGGUGGGGGCAUGGCUUACAAAAGUCAAUAUGCCUCACGGUGGCUUGGAAGCCGGGGACACCGUCCAGGUCCCUGGGAUGGAAUGCAGGGAGUGCCACAGGAGGUCACAUAGAGUUUAGAUAAAUGGGUCCCACACAGAUCAAAUGUGUAAUAAGGCCAUCAAUGUUACCUUAGGGGUGUUCCGAGCUACAUAUAACUCUCCACUGAUGUCAGAAAAUUAUCCUACAAUUUCACAAUAUUCUUCUCCAACAAGUAUUUGUUGAGCACUCACUCAGGGACAAGCAUUUUGCUGAGGUGUAAGUGGAAAAUAAAUGAGGUAAAUUUCUGCCCUUGGGGAUGAAAAUCUUAAUUUUUUUUUGUGGUCAAGUACAGGGCCUGAACAUCAUGCUGUGUGAAUCAAACUUUAAAAAUGCAUGGUCAUGCGAAAUGCCAGCAGCUGUGCUCUGUGACCCCCGCCUACGGCCCACUGUGUGCACCCUGUCGAAAUCCCAUCUCAGUUUCCUCCACCCCUCCCUGUGCCGGAUCUCCUCUCCACAUCUCCUGGCCAAGUCUUCCCCAUUGCUGAGUUCCCAGAUGGCUUUCAGGUGACAGACUGGUAAAGUGAUCAUCAUGACACUCUGAAAACAAUGCUGUUUCGAGGCCUUUAAAAAUAGCAGACAUUUAUUGCUGGCCUCCUGUGUGCAAGAGCUUUACCUGUAGUAUCUCAUUGUAUCCUCCCAACACUCACAAGCACAUUUUUAUUCUCAUUUUACAGACAACGCCAGAGACAUUCAAUACCAUGGCCAAGGUCACAUGGUGAAAAUAUGGCGCAUGUGAGAUGCAGAACAAGAACCGAACAGGUGUUCAUCGCCAUCGUGGCAGGAAACAGCAAGACAACUUGACAAGGAUCUCCUGCCACUUGCCCAUUGGAACUGGAACGGAGUGUUAAUGACGCAGGAGUGCGUGAAUUUACAUGUCAUAUACACACAUACAAAUUCACCUGUAGACAGAGCAAUAUUUGGUUAUAUGAAACGUCUACAAAGAGCACGUUCUAAAAGCAGCUUUAGGAUUAUGGGUGCUUUUCUCCCUCUUAAAUGUGUUAAUUUUUAAAUGUGUUUAAAUGUGUUAAUUUUUUUUCUCCACUGAACAUAAAUAAUUUGUAUACAUUGAAAAGAAAACAAGGUUAUCUUUUGAAAAAAAGACACAAUCAAUAAUAAAAUGAUUCCCCACUUAGUGCCUGAUGUCCUUCAAAUGUUAUUUUAUUAGUCCUAUAAUAGAUUACAAAAUUAAAUGAAAAGAGAAGGACAUUAAGAUUUAGGGUGAAAAUAGCUGAAUUUAAAAUAAAGAAGUUUCAACAAGCUGCCAAGCCUUCCUGUACUAUUGCUAUCUCAGCUUCUUGGGGAGGACAGGGUUAAAGGGAGGCCUUCUGUGGGAAAGCCUGAUGAUCCUUGUGAUGGAAUAAAUCGACAUCCAGCUGCUGUUAUUAUAUCCUGGAAGGGCUCAGGAUGGAAACCUUAUCCUGCCAUUGGUUGUUAGAAAUAAUGAGGCUUUAUAUCCCCUUCAGGGAAAAAAAUGUGCUACAAUAGUUUAUAAAAUAAGCCAGAAAAUGCUA